AGACAACACGCCUUGUGCAAUAAUAUUCUGGCUUCUUCCAGUUUUAAGAACCGUUGUGAUUACACUGGGCCCAUCCAGAUAACUCAGGAUAAUCUCCCAACUGGUGUCCUGAACUUGAUCACACCUGCAGGGUCCUUUUGCCACAUCAAGUAAUAUCUUCACAGUUUCUGGAGGUCAGGACGUGAACAUCCUUGGGCUCCAUUAUUUUUGUUACCACAGGUGACUUCCUCAGAAAAGAGACUCCUCUCAAGUUUUCUCCAUGUUCGCGCCCCUCGUGAUUGAAGGCCCAAGUCCCUGGGCACUGCCUGGAAGCCGUGCUGUUGUUGCUGGCCCUCCUGCUCCUCUCAGGUCCUGCCUGCGGCAUCCAAGCGCUGGACCAGACGUUUGAAGCGGCGGGCUCGGGCCCAGGAGCUGUGCUGCUGCCUCCCCUCCUGCUCCCUCUCUCCUGAUACACACCGUCCUCCGGAGACGCAGGGCCCAGGCGGCUCC
rnacentral:lncRNA from 1 species